rnacentral:lncRNA from 1 species
GUAGGAGUCCGGAUGAAAUCCGCUUAUUGUAAAAGCUCGAACGAAGACCGACUGUCGUGAAAGCUCGGAUGGAGACUUCUUAUUAUAGAAGUCUCGCUGCUAGAGAAGCUCGAUCAUUGAUGAUGUUCGGAAGAAGUUCGAAGUAGAGAUCCGACUGGUGGAGCCUGUCCGUUGUAGGAGUUCGUCUGGAGUCCAUCCGCUGUAGAAGUUCGACUGGGAUCCGGCUCUCGUAGGAGCUUAGAUGAAAUCCAAAAUACGAUCGACUGUCGUAAAAACUUGGAUGGAG